CCUACGGGUGGCAGCAGUAGGGAAUCUUCCACAAUGGACGAAAGUCUGAUGGAGCAACGCCGCGUGAGUGAAGAAGGGUUUCUGCUCGUAAAGCUCUGUUGGUAGUGAAGAAAGAUAGAGGUAGUAACUGGCCUUUGUUUGACGGUAAUUACUUAGAAAGUCACGGCUAACUACGUGCCAGCAGCCGCGGUGAUACGUAGGUGGCAAGCGUUGUCCGGUUUUUUUGGGCGUUAAGCGAGUGCAGGCGGUUCAAUACGUCUGAUGUGAAAGCCGUCGGCGCAACCGGAGAAUUGCAUCAGAAACUGGUGAACUUGAGUGCGGAAGAGGAGAGUGGAAUGCGUGGUGUAGCGGUGGAAUGCGUAGAUAUAAGGCAGAACACCAGUGGCGAAGGCGGCUCUCUGGUCCGCAACUGACGCUGAGGCUCGAAAGCAUGGGUAGCGAACAGGAUUAGAUACCCUAGUAGUC
rnacentral:rRNA from 1 species